GACGAACGCUGGCGGCGUGCUUAACACAUGCAAGUCGAACGGAAAGGCCCUGCUUUUGUGGGGUGCUCGAGUGGCGAACGGGUGAGUAACACGUGAGUAACCUGCCCUUGACUUUGGGAUAACUUCAGGAAACUGGGGCUAAUACCGGAUAGGAGCUCCUGCUGCAUGGUGGGGGUUGGAAAGUUUCGGCGGUUGGGGAUGGACUCGCGGCUUAUCAGCUUGUUGGUGGGGUAGUGGCUUACCAAGGCUUUGACGGGUAGCCGGCCUGAGAGGGUGACCGGCCACAUUGGGACUGAGAUACGGCCCAGACUCCUAUGGGAGGCAGCAGUGGGGAAUAUUGCACAAUGGGCGGAAGCCUGAUGCAGCAACGCCGCGCGCGGGAUGACGGCCUUCGGGUUGUAAACCGCUUUCGCCUGUGACGAAGCGUGAGUGACGGUAAUGGGUAAAGAAGCACCGGCUAACUACGUG
rnacentral:rRNA from 1 species